UACGGAGGGGGCUAGCGUUGUUCGGAUUUACUGGGCGUAAAGCGCACGUAGGCGGAUUGUUAAGUUAGAGGUGAAAUCCCGGAGCUCAACUCCGGAACUGCCUUUAAUACUGGCAAUCUAGAGUCCGGAAGAGGUAAGUGGAAUUCCUAGUGUAGAGGUGAAAUUCGUAGAUAUUAGGAAGAACACCAGUGGCGAAGGCGGCUCACUGGCUCGGUACUGACGCUGAGGCGCGAAAGCGUGGGGAGCAAACAGG
rnacentral:rRNA from 1 species